rnacentral:lncRNA from 1 species
AUUCUCACGUUCAUGUUAUAUAGUCAGUUAGCAUUGUUCAUGCAUUUAAACCUUUUGCAUUCAGCCUACCUCACUUUCAUACCAGUACAUUCAAUCAUACUGACGUAUUUUUACUAUGGUGUUUUUAUAUCAUAGGUUCAAAAGGACGAGCUCUAGAGCAUCAUUGGCAUUCCCGUCUCAGCAGUCAGAGUCAACAGUGAGUCCUCAUUCUUUGAGGAAAUAAUCAUUACUUUAUUUCUUUAUUACUUAGUUUAUUUCAGUAGUUGGAGUUAGUUGGCAACAUGUUCCAUCAAUUCUUUAUUC